AGAGUUUGAUCCUGGCUCAGGACGAACGCUGGCGGCGUGCCUAACACAUGCAAGUCGAGCGGAGACAGUGAGUAGCUUGCUAUGAGCUGUUUUAGCGGCGGACGGGUGAGUAACGCGUGAGCAACCUUUCCCAGACAGGGGAAUAACACACCGAAAGGUGUACUAAUACCGCAUAAGACCACGGGAUCACAUGGUUCUGGGGUAAAAGAUUUAUCGGUUUGGGGUGGGCUCGCGUCCGAUUAGGUAGUUGGUGAGGUAACGGCCCACCAAGCCGACGAUCGGUAGCCGACCUGAGAGGGUGAUCGGCCACAUUGGGACUGAGACACGGCCCAAACUCCUACGGGAGGCAGCAGUGGGGAAUAUUGGGCAAUGGGGGGAACCCUGACCCAGCAACGCCGCGUGGAGGAAGAAGGUUUUCGGAUCGUAAACUCCUGUCCUUGGAGACGAGUAGAAGACGGUAUCCAAGGAGGAAGCCCCGGCUAACUACGUGCCAGCAGCCGCGGUAAUACGUAGGGGGCAAGCGUUGUCCGGAAUAAUUGGGCGUAAAGGGCGCGUAGGCGGCUCGGUAAGUCUGGAGUGAAAGUCCUGCUUUUAAGGUGGGAAUUGCUUUGGAUACUGUCGGGCUUGAGUGCAGGAGAGGUUAGUGGAAUUCCCAGUGUAGCGGUGAAAUGCGUAGAGAUUGGGAGGAACACCAGUGGCGAAGGCGACUAACUGGACUGUAACUGACGCUGAGGCGCGAAAGUGUGGGGAGCAAACAGGAUUAGAUACCCUGGUAGUCCACACUGUAAACGAUGAAUGCUAGGUGUAGGGGGUAUCGACCCCUUCUGUGCCGCAGUCAACACAAUAAGCAUUCCGCCUGGGGAGUACGGCCGCAAGGUUGAAACUCAAAGGAAUUGACGGGGGCCCGCACAAGCAGCGGAGCAUGUGGUUUAAUUCGACGCAACGCGAAGAACCUUACCAGGUCUUGACAUCCACUUAAACUUACAGAGAUGUAAGGUGUGCUUGCACAAAGUGAGACAGGUGGUGCAUGGUUGUCGUCAGCUCGUGUCGUGAGAUGUUGGGUUAA
rnacentral:rRNA from 1 species